rnacentral:SRP_RNA from 1 species
CCAUACCGACCGGGGAGCCAGCGGUGCCCUGUACCUGCAAUCCGCUCAGCAGGGGUGAUCCCGAUUUUGAGGGGAGCGUUUGUGUGGUCUGCCCCGCAUCCCCCGGGCGUUGAGGGACGGGUCCCGCGCAAUCGGUGUCUGUGAACCAUGUCAGGUGGGGAACCAAGCAGCAUUAAGCAGAAGAACCGAUGUGCCGUGGGGUUGCCUGUCCGGAGCCCGGACUGCGGAAAGCGCAUGGAAAUUCUUUUCGAUUUUUCGGUGUAUGG